CAUGCCUCCGUACUUGGAGAGUGAGAAGCCCCGUGGGUUCGAACCGAGCGGCCAAGCCGCGACGCAACGACACCUUUAUAAGUGUUGUCUCCGAAGGAGUGAGGAGCGUAGUGACGAAUCAUCCCUCCGGGUGCACCA
rnacentral:sRNA from 1 species